rnacentral:rRNA from 1 species
UACGUAGGGGGCUAGCGUUGUCCGGAAUCAUUGGGCGUAAAGAGCGUGUAGGCGGCCCGGUAAGUCCGCUGUGAAAGUCGGGGGCUCAACCCUCGAAUGCCGGUGGAUACUGUCGGGCUAGAGUGCGGAAGAGGCGAGUGGAAUUCCUGGUGUAGCGGUGAAAUGCGCAGAUAUCAGGAAGAACACCCGUGGCGAAGGCGAGUCUCUGGACAUUUCCUGACGCUGAGGCACGAAAGCCAGGGGAGCAAACGGG